GGUUAAGCGACUAAGCGUACACGGUGGAUGCCCUGGCAGUCAGAGGCGAUGAAGGACGUGCUAAUCUGCGAAAAGCGCCGGCGAGGUGAUAUGAACCUUUGACCCGGCGAUGUCCGAAUGGGGAAACCCAGUGUGUUCCGACACACUAUCGUUAACUGAAUACAUAGGUUAACGAGGCGAACCGGGGGAACUGAAACAUCUAAGUACCCCGAGGAAAAGAAAUCAACCGAGAUUCCCCCAGUAGCGGCGAGCGAACGGGGAGCAGCCCAGAGUCUGAAUCAGCUUGUGUGUUAGUGGAAGCGUCUGGAAAGUCGCACGGUACAGGGUGACAGUCCCGUACACGAAAGCACACAGGUUGUGAACUCGAAGAGUAGGGCGGGACACGUGGUAUCCUGUCUGAAUAUGGGGGGACCAUCCUCCAAGGCUAAAUACUCCUGACUGACCGAUAGUGAACCAGUACCGUGAGGGAAAGGCGAAAAGAACCCCGGCGAGGGGAGUGAAAAAGAACCUGAAACCGUGUACGUACAAGCAGUGGGAGCCUCUUUAUGGGGUGACUGCGUACCUUUUGUAUAAUGGGUCAGCGACUUAUAUUCUGUAGCAAGGUUAACCGUAUAGGGGAGCCGAAGGGAAACCGAGUCUUAACUGGGCGUUAAGUUGCAGGGUAUAGACCCGAAACCCGGUGAUCUAGCCAUGGGCAGGUUGAAGGUUGGGUAACACUAACUGGAGGACCGAACCGACUAAUGUUGAAAAAUUAGCGGAUGACUUGUGGCUGGGGGUGAAAGGCCAAUCAAACCGGGAGAUAGCUGGUUCUCCCCGAAAGCUAUUUAGGUAGCGCCUCGUGAACUCAUCUUCGGGGGUAGAGCACUGUUUCGGCUAGGGGGCCAUCCCGGCUUACCAACCCGAUGCAAACUACGAAUACCGAAGAAUGUUAUCACGGGAGACACACGGCGGGUGCUAACGUCCGUCGUGAAGAGGGAAACAACCCAGACCGCCAGCUAAGGUCCCAAAGUCAUGGUUAAGUGGGAAACGAUGUGGGAAGGCACAGACAGCCAGGAUGUUGGCUUAGAAGCAGCCAUCAUUUAAAGAAAGCGUAAUAGCUCACUGGUCGAGUCGGCCUGCGCGGAAGAUGUAACGGGGCUAAACCAUGCACCGAAGCUGCGGCAGCGAC
rnacentral:rRNA from 1 species